rnacentral:snRNA from 1 species
UGCUGCUUCCUUAGGGAUCGA